UCCUACGGGAGGCAGCAGUGGGGAAUUUUCCGCAAUGGGCGCAAGCCUGACGGAGCAAUACCGCGUGAGGGAGGAAGGCUCUUGGGUCGUAAACCUCUUUUCUCAGGGAAGAACACAAUGACGGUACCUGAGGAAUCAGCAUCGGCUAACUCCGUGCCAGCAGCCGCGGUAAUACGGAGGAUGCAAGCGUUAUCCGGAAUGAUUGGGCGUAAAGCGUCCGUAGGUGGUUAUGUAAGUCUGUGGUUAAAGCGUGGGGCUCAACCCCAUAAGGGCCAUGGAAACUACACAACUAGAGUCAAGUAGGGGUAGAGGGAAUUCCCAGUGUAGCGGUGAAAUGCGUAGAGAUUGGGAAGAACACCGGUGGCGAAAGCGCUCUACUGGACUUAAACUGACACUAAGGGACGAAAGCUAGGGGAGCGAAUGGGAUUAGAUACCCCUGUAGUCA
rnacentral:rRNA from 1 species